AGUGAACGCUGGCGGCAGGCCUAAUACAUGCAAGUCGAACGGCAGCACAGCUUAAGCUUGCUUAAGUGGGUGGCGAGUGGCGGACGGGUGAGGAAUACGGGGGAAUCUGCCCAGUCGUGGGGGAUAACGUAGGGAAACUUACGCGAAUACCGCAUGCGCCCUUCGGGGGAAAGCCGGGGAUCUUCGGACCUGGCGCGAUGGGAGGAGCCCCCGUCGGAUUAGCUAGUUGGAGGGGUAAAGGCCCACCAAGGCAACGAUCCGUAGCUGGUCUGAGAGGAUGAUCAGCCACACUGGAACUGAGACACGGUCCAGACUCCUACGGGAGGCAGCAGUAGGGAAUAUUGGACAAUGGGCGCAAGCCUGAUCCAGCCAUGCCGCGUGAGUGAAGAAGGCCCUCGGGUUGUAAAGCUCUUUUGUUGGGGAAGAAAAGCCUUGGGUUAAUACCCUGAGGUUCUGACGGUACCCAAAGAAUAAGCACCGGCUAACUUCGUGCCAGCAGCCGCCGUAA
rnacentral:rRNA from 1 species